rnacentral:rRNA from 1 species
GACGAACGCUGGCGGCGUGCCUAAUACAUGCAAGUUGAGCGCUGAAGGUUGGUACUUGUACCAACUGGAUGAGCAGCGAACGGGUGAGUAACGCGUGGGGAAUCUGCCUUUGAGCGGGGGACAACAGUUGGAAACGAAUGCUAAUACCGCAUAAAAACUUUAAACACAAGGUUUAAGUUUGAAAGAUGCAAUUGCAUCACUCAAAGAUGAUCCCGCGUUGUAUUAGCUAGUUGGUGAGGUAAAGGCUCACCAAGGCGAUGAUACAUAGCCGACCUGAGAGGGUGGUCGGCCACAUGGGGACUGAGACACGGCCCAAACUCCUACGAGAGGCAGCAGUAGGGAAUCUUCGGCAAUGGACGAAAGUCUGACCGAGCAACGCCGCGUGAGUGAAGAAGGUUUUCGGAUCGUAAAACUCUGUUGGUAGAGAAGAACGUUGGUGGGAGUGGAAAGCUCAUCAAGUGACGGUAACUACCCAGAAAGGGACGGCUAACUACGUG